UACGGAGGGUGCGAGCGUUGUCCGGAAUCAUUGGGCGUAAAGGGCGCGUAGGUGGCGGGACAAGCGUGCGGUGAAAGCCUGGGGCUCAACCCCGGGUCGGCCGUGCGAACUGUUUUGCUUGAGCACUGUAGAGGCAGGCGGAAUUCCGGGUGUAGCGGUGGAAUGCGUAGAGAUCCGGAAGAACACCGGUGGCGAAGGCGGCCUGCUGGGCAGUAGCUGACGCUGAGGCGCGAAAGCGUGGGGAGCGAACAGG
rnacentral:rRNA from 1 species